rnacentral:rRNA from 1 species
CCUACGGGGGGCAGCAGUAGGGAAUCUUCCACAAUGGGCGAAAGCCUGAUGGAGUAACGCCGCGUGGGUGAAGAAGGUCUUCGGAUCGUAAAACCCUGUUGUUAGAGAAGUAAGUGCGUGAGAGUAACUGUUCACGUUUCGACGGUAUCUAACAAGAAAGCCACGGCUAACUACGUCCCAGCAGCCGCGGUAAUACGUAGGUGGCAAGCGUUAUCCGGAUUUAUUGGGUGUAAAGGGAACGCAGGCGGUUUUUUAAGUCUGAUGUGAAAGCCUUCGGCUUAACCGGAGUAGUGCAUUGGAAACUGGGAGACUUGAGUGCAGAUGAGGAGGGUGGAACUCGAGGUGUAGCGGUGAAAUGCGUAGAUAUCUGGCAGAACACCAGUGGCGAAGGCGGCUUUCUGGCCUGUAACUGACGCUGAGGUUCGAAAGCGUGGGUAGCAAACAGGAUUAGAUACCCGAGUAGUC